rnacentral:rRNA from 1 species
AUGAACGCUGGCGGCGUGCUUAACACAUGCAAGUCGAACGAACCUUCGGGUUAGUGGCGGACGGGUGAGUAACGCGUGAGAAUCUGCCCUCAGGAGGGGGAUAACGGCUGGAAACGGCCGCUAAUACCCCAUAUGCCGAGAGGUGAAAUGAAUUUCGCCUGAGGAUGAGCUCGCGUCUGAUUAGCUAGUUGGUGGGGUAAGAGCCUACCAAGGCUUCGAUCAGUAGCUGGUCUGAGAGGAUGAUCAGCCACACUGGGACUGAGACACGGCCCAGACUCCUACGGGAGGCAGCAGUGGGGAAUUUUCCGCAAUGGGCGAAAGCCUGACGGAGCAACGCCGCGUGAGGGAUGAAGGCCUCUGGGCUGUAAACCUCUUUUCUCAAGGAAGAAGACCUGACGGUACUUGAGGAAUAAGCC